CACACAAAGCAAAAGAAAAUCGGAACCAAAAGAUAAGGUAACUGGAAGAUGGGUCUGGGGUAUCCAGACAUACACAUGGUAGGCAAGAAAGAAAUGCUCAGGGACACAAUUCAAAGAAUUUUCCAGAACAGAUGAAAAUGAGUUGCCAGAUUGAAAGGGGCUGUUGAGUUAUUAGCACUGUGGGUGAAAAUGGACCCCCCCCCCAGGGCACAUCAUUGUGAUGUUUCGGAACAGUGGGACAAUGGAAAGAAGAGUCUCUUGAGAAUCUUGCCCAGAAAGAAAAUGGUGUCCUGCAGCUACAUUGUAUCAGAAUGGCACAGACUUCUUCAAACAACACUAGAACCUAAGAUUCAAGUGGAGAAAGAGUUUCAAGUUUCCAAAAGGAAAUGAAUUUCAAUCUAGACAUCUACACCCAGGGAGUUUCAUAAGCCAGGUGAAGAGGCAAGUCCAAUGAGAGGUGAAGGGGAGCCCGCGAGGAUGGGAAGGAAGACCCCACGUGACCAUCGUGUUGGGGACCUGCACAUCACGGGGCCUCGCUCAAGAAAACUAAACCACCGAAACAAACCCCAGCUCUCAGUCACUCCAGGGGAAACCAGCGUGCAGGAAAGGAAAGAGAAUCAGUUUGCUACUUGUCUCAGCAAUGAAUGGCAUUUCCAUGAUCACAAUAAGGUUUGUGGUAGUGGGCUACAUUGAUCCCGCAAUGUUACAAAGCCAGCCAGGAAGAUACAAAGUCAAUGGCUUAUUCUCUUUGGUUCCAUUUAAUUCACUCUGAAUGGAUGUCCAGGACAUUCAAGGUCCUGGGAUUCCCCUCUAUUGUUCCCAUGGAUGACCACCAUUGCAUUUAUGCCAUGAAGCUAAUUUUUCAGGGAAAGAAAUGGUGGACACCACCUAAAAAUGGGGUGGCACAGUGUGGCCCGGAAAGGCUGGAAUGGGGGUUGGGCCAGCCUCUGGGUCUCCAUCUCCCUCAGCCGCAGGGGUAGUAAGGGUUGGAAAUGGUGCAGAGUACUGUGCCUGGGGAGGCAGUUUGCCAAUGCAACUAAGGUACCCUUUGGAGUAGCAUUUUCAGUGUUGUUCAUCCAAGUGACAUCUAAAAUCACCAGUAACCGGAAUGGUGACAAUCACACUUAACUGGUCAUGAAGUUAUGUCUCUAAGGCUACUUCAACAGCUCUCAAAUCUCAGACAGCCCUCAAGAGGCAGGAACAUGAAUAUAAAUCAUGAAGAUCUUGUCUGGACCUGAGGGAAAAGACUAAGAGCCUGCCUGAUGCUCUGUUUUCAGUGCCUCUGAGGAUUUCAGGGUAUUAAAUGUCAAUGACACUUUGGGCCAUAAGCUUUUUGACACGGGUCCAUGGCCUCGGUUGAAUGGCAGGCGAGUGGCCCCAUGACGGAAGAUCACACGUUGUCAACAGAGAUCAAAUCUAAGUGACAGCAUCAUAAAAUGCUCUCAACCAUUUUCCUGACGAACGUCACAUGUGAGUGAUUUAUGAGGAUAUAUUGUGGGAAAGGGAAAGUUCUCGCCACAAGAAUGAGUUGUGUCUUGCCCGUAGGAAGCCUCACUUCUGUUCUGGGGCGUUCAGUUGUUAUGGAAAAGCAGGGCGUUGAUACAAGGAAUAAAGGACUAAAGUAGAUCCAAUGCAUGAGCAAUUAUCACCACAACCUGAUGUUCAUGAAGGGCUUGUUAUCAAACACUGAGCUUGGCUUCAUCCUAACUAUACAUUGGCUCUAAUCCCAGCAAGAAGAUGGCGCCAAAUGCCUCCUUUGUUCAUUUUUUAAUUUAGUAGAUAUUUAUUGAAAGCUUAUUGUGCCAAGCAUCACUGUAGACUCCAGAGAUAGCAAAAUAAAAACACGAAAAUCUCUGAUCCCUUGGAGGGCGCUAAGUAAACUUGAAAUCAUCCUCAUCUUUAAAUAUUUUUAUUUUAGUAUAUAAGUACCUGGAUUGGCUAAAUAUAGCACAAUGGUAUAUCAGUUUGUACCCACCAAGUACCAAGAGGCUGUAUACCCAGAUUGCAAAAGCAACCACGGGAAGCAUUUUACUUCCCUCUUUAGCCUUUCCUAUGUUUUCCACAUUUUAUAGGUUUUCCAAAAUUUACAUUUUGCUUUUGUAACCAGAAAACGCUCCUUACAAACUACUUAUUUUUGCUGAUUAUGUUGAAACUACUAUCUAACAUUUGCAAAUAAUUUCAGGACUGGAUUGCUGCUCCCUCAAAUAUUAGAUGGGUAAGACUGUCCUAAUUAACUGCAUCAAGCGCUGGAACCACAGACAGAAUUAGAAGUCACAAUCUGAGGAAUUUGUGACUGUACCCUUUACCCGCUGAACUAUAUUCUUCUUACUUGGGAAAUUAGUGCUAGUUGCCACAUAUUAGUUUGGCCUUCCACAAAGUGGGGCUCUGAGGCAUGAUUUGAGGGUACGUAGUUAAUUUGGGAAGGGAUCUCAGAAGCACGGUGAGGGAAUGGAGAAGCAAGAUGGGAAAGAAGGAAAACCAACGAAGUCUGCAGUAGUGAGAGGACCUAAGGGCACCCGGGCUCAGGUCUGCGUAAGACCUCCGAAAGAAUAUGCAGAGAUACCUUACAGUUACCCCCCCAAGGGGGAAGAAAGCAGAGCUAUCCAUCCACCAACCUCCAUCCGUUAUUGGUUGAGGGCUUAUUCUAAAGGUAUUAAGUCCUGAGCCCUUCCCACCUGUUCUAUAUGCAGGACAAGCAAUGCCCUGGAGCCCUUAGGAAGGCCCUAAGGUAGACAAAGACCCAGGGCCCUGAGUAAGAAGCUGCAGGGGACCUCUGGGAUGGACUCAGGGGACAUGGGGGGUGUACUGACAGAAUCUCAUACACUUGUGUGACAAACAGCUCUAAUAUCACAGAGUUUAACAGAAUACAAAUUCCCUUUUUGCUCAGAUACACUUUGCAGGGCAGGCAGCUUUCCUGGGCAGCUUGUCCUCAAAUCUUAUCUCUGUCCGUUGUGUAGUUCCCCAUCUCAGAGCCCCCUGUCCCCCCCCCACCCCCCGCCCCCACGGACAGGGAGGAGGGAUGGUGUGGGAGGUGCUGGGUGGCCCAGGCGGAUAGGAUGUCACUUCCGCGGGAGCCUUUCCCAAAACUCAGCCACAUGAUCCUCACCUCCCUACACAGGGGGUGCGGAAAUGUACUCUCCUACGCGGCCAAGAAGAGGGUAAGGGGGUUGGUGAGCAGAUAGAGAUUCCUGACAUGCUUCUCAUUUCCCUGUCGGAACGCGUGAGCGCUCUAAAUCGCUGGUACGAACUGGGUACUGUACUCUAGGUUUUUUGGAAAAUGAGCUUGAGUUCUGUAUAGAGACUCUUUCAGAUGCAAAGGGUUCCAUGGAAUAGUUAAUACUAAGGAGCACAGAGGAGAAACCAUGGUCCAGGGUGGCGAGGGGCUUUAGAAUGAGAGUCAGAACAUCCAUGCGCUCAUUCUGGACCUGCUUUUGAUUGGGCAUGUGAUUUUGGAUAUAAAGCACAUGUCUUGAUGUAAAAAAUAAUAAAGUCUCUUAGAGCUAUAAUAUUCGAUGAUUGCUGCAGCUAAGUAGCUGGUUAUUUAUGUUUUAAAGAAUAUAUAUUUUUAGGAUGCCUGGGUGGCUCA